rnacentral:rRNA from 1 species
UACGUAGGGUGCGAGCGUUAAUCGGAAUUACUGGGCGUAAAGCGUGCGCAGGCGGUUGUGCAAGACAGGUGUGAAAUCCCCGGGCUUAACCUGGGAACUGCACUUGUGACUGCACGGCUGGAGUACGGCAGAGGGGGACGGAAUUCCGCGUGUAGCAGUGAAAUGCGUAGAUAUGCGGAGGAACACCGAUGGCGAAGGCAGUCCCCUGGGCCAGCACUGACGCUCAUGCACGAAAGCGUGGGGAGCAAACA